CCCUUAGAUGUUCUGGGCAGCACGCGCGCUACAAUGGUCUUCGCAAACGGAUGCAUUCUCGAAGGAGAAUGCCAAUCUUGGAAUCUAUGCCUUGGUCGGGACAGUUGCUUGCAAUUUUUCGACUCGAACCAGGAAUUCCUUGUAAUCGUGAUUCAUCACAUCACGAUGAAUACGUCCCUGCCCUUUGUACACACCGCCCGUCGCUCCUACCGAUCGAAGAGUUAGGUGAAUUGUUUUGAUCGAUAAGAUUUGACUAUGGUCAACUCUCGUUGUGAAAUUCUGUGAAUCUGACUGUCUAGAGGAAGUAAAAGUCGUAACA
rnacentral:rRNA from 1 species